CCCUUAGAUGUUCUGGGCCGCACGCGUGCUACACUGGGUGGAUCAGCGGGUCAGGUUGCGCGAAAGUGUUUCCUAAUCUUGAAAUCCGCUCGUGAUGGGGAUUGACGGUUGCAAUUUUCCGUCAUGAACGAGGAAUACCUUGUAAGCGCGGGUCAUCAUCCCGCGCUGAAUACGUCCCUGCCCUUUGUACACACCGCCCGUCGCUCCUACCGAUUGAGUGGUCCGGUGAGGCUUUGGGAUCUGAGCAAAGAGAGCGUUUCGCUCGUUUUGCCCGGAAAACUCAGUCGAACCUUAUCAUUUAGAGGAAGGAGAAGUCGUAACA
rnacentral:rRNA from 1 species